rnacentral:rRNA from 1 species
UACGGAGGGAGCUAGCGUUGUUCGGAAUUACUGGGCGUAAAGCGCGCGUAGGCGGCUUUGUAAGUUAGAGGUGAAAGCCCGAGGCUCAACCCCGGAAUUGCCUUUAAGACUGCAUCGCUUGAAUCCGGGAGAGGUGAGUGGAAUUCCGAGUGUAGAGGUGAAAUUCGUAGAUAUUCGGAAGAACACCAGUGGCGAAGGCGGCUCACUGGACCGGCAUUGACGCUGAGGUGCGAAAGCGUGGGGAGCAAACAGG